UGGGGAAUAUUGGACAAUGGGCGAAAGCCUGAUCCAGCCAUGCCGCGUGUGUGAAGAAGGUCUUCGGAUUGUAAAGCACUUUAAGUUGGGAGGAAGGGCAUUAACCUAAUACGUUAGUGUUUUGACGUUACCGACAGAAUAAGCACCGGCUAACUCUGUGCCAGCAGCCGCGGUAAUACAGAGGGUGCAAGCGUUAAUCGGAAUUACUGGGCGUAAAGCGCGCGUAGGUGGUUUGUUAAGUUGGAUGUGAAAUCCCCGGGCUCAACCAGGGAACUGCAUUCAAAACUGACUGACUAGAGUAUGGUAGAGGGUGGUGGAAUUUCCUGUGUAGCGGUGAAAUGCGUAGAUAUAGGAAGGAACACCAGUGGCGAAGGCGACCACCUGGACUAAUACUGACACUGAGGUGCGAAAGCGUGGGGAGCAAACA
rnacentral:rRNA from 1 species